GUUGUAUCUUUUCAUUAUAAAAAGUUAUUCUUUUGUGUAAAAACUGAACUCUAUUAAUUUUAGGAGUUGUAUAUUUUCAUUAGGAAUCUCAAUUAAUAUUAAAAAUUGUAUCUUUUCAUUAAUUUUUUUAAAUAUAUUAGUUUUAAAAGUUGUAUCUUCUUAUUAUAAAAAAGUUCUAUCUUUUCGUAAAAAAGUAGUUAAAAUAUUUCGAUUUGUGUCUUUUUACAAUUAUUAGUAUUUUCUAUAUAUAAUAGCAAAACAUAAUUCUGUACUCGGUGACAUCUUAGGAAAAAAAGUUUCAAUUCAACGGUCAGAUUUUUCUGUUUUUAUGAUUUUGUUUUUGUCAUCUUUCUGUUUUUAUGAUAUAAAGGAUAAAAUAUAUGUUUGCUAUGAAUGUUUAUUUAAACAAGAAAACAAUAUUUAGCAACUCUUCUCUGAAUGAGCUCGGACAGCACAUUCCAUUUAAAGUAACAAACAUAUUUUUUCAUAGUUUUUAAAAAAGCGAAGAGUUACAAUCCGACGGUCAUAAUUGUCUUAUUUCUUAUCCGAGGGUUUUAGUUUUUUUUUGCUUAAAUUUCUUAUGAGUUAUGUCUUCUCGCAACUCCUCUCUAAAGAGUUUUUAUCUCAAACAAUACAUAUUUUCUUCUAGAGUAGUAAACGAUGUACCUUUUCGGGAUCCUAUAUAAUGAAAUUUUUAAACCAGAUUUUAAAAAUAUAUAUAUAUACUUUGUUUCGUUAUCUCUUCUCAUACUGUUGUUAAAUAGCAGAAUUAGCAAAUAAUUUUUAAAUAAAAAAAAAAGAAAAUAAAUAAAUUAUAAGGCGCCACGUUAAAACGUCUUUCUUAUUCUCCCUUCCGUUGAAGUAACAGCCCCAUUAUUGACUUGUUGAUAAUUGGAAUCAAUACAGUGAGUUUUAUCACUGGUUUUAGAUGGCUUUUGAGAAGUAGAGAAAGGAAUAAAAAGAGAAUUAUAGAUCAUCUCCCCCUUCAUCGAUGUGGUCAUCGACCGGCAAAUGUUUUCUUCUUCUUGUUAGUUUGUAAUUGAGUUUUUGGUUGUAUGUUAUUAAGUAAUAAUAUUGUAUUAAAAGGUGUGUGUGUAAGAGUCGUGACUUUAGAUUGGAUACUUGUGUCUCUUAGAGCAACAUUAUCGGGGUAUGAUAGAGGAAGUCGUUAGGCUUUAUAUGAUUUUAUUUAAAUAAAAAUUGUAUAAUUUCGCUGGGACGGACGCGGUUUGUCGUUGGCUAACAUAUUUUUUUUUUGUCCUUAGGUGAUAGGUGUCGGCAAGGGAAUGGUGGAAGCGUUUUGGUUUGAGAAAUGAUUCACGUGUUGCCCUUUGGGCCUUGUCUCUUUGAGAAGAGAGAGAGAGAGAGUUGAAGAUCGAUGGCGGAAGGCGCGAUGAUCCCCAGCAACUGAAGAAGGGAAGCCAUAGCUUCAGGCAGAGGCUACUUCUCUGGACCCUUUCUUCGACGCCUAUCAUCAGGCAGAGGCUGAAUCCUAGCCUCCAACAUCACGAGAUGUCUCUCCUCCGCCUCUUCGAGACUGUCUCCGAUGACUGCGUCACACUUGCCCUCAUCCAGAUUAAAUUGACUGAUGUUACUGAUCCCAUGGUCAAUGAGAAGGUUGCUGAUCGGGUAGGAGAGGAUUUAGAAGGAGUUACCCACAAAGUUUACUUUGAUAUUCAGAUCAAUGGUUCACCUGAAUGAGUUACCCACAAAGUUUACUUUGUCCCCUCUUCUUCAUUGGGCGUAGAGGGAAAGAUUGUGGUUGAGCUGAUUUUGCUGGGCAAAUCUGGAUGCAGGGGCAAACAUUAUCUGAUUUUUUCUUAAUUGUUCUGAUCUUUUUUUUUUGGUUUCGGGUAUGUGGAUUUGAUUUUGUGAUCGUUGUUCUGAUUGUGCAAGGAGGAGUCUCUUGCACGUAGAACAUAGAAACUACCUUUUUAUAUAGUUUGUAAUCAAAGAUUUACUCUACUUAUUUCUGCUUCACGUUUCAUUGUUGA